GACGUAGGGCGCGAGCGUUGUCCGGAUUUAUUGGGCGUAAAGCGCUCGUAGGCGGCUUGUCGCGUCGUCCGUGAAAACCCACAGCUCAACUGUGGGCUUGCGGUCGAUACGGGCAGGCUAGAGUUCGGUAGGGGAGACUGGAAUUCCUGGUGUAGCGGUGAAAUGCGCAGAUAUCAGGAGGAACACCGGUGGCGAAGGCGGGUCUCUGGGCAGUAACUGACGCUGAGGAGCGAAAGCGUGGGGAGCGAACAGG
rnacentral:rRNA from 1 species